rnacentral:lncRNA from 1 species
CAAAGUAAUUGAACCUACUCUUCUGCCCCAUUCAUUUAUAUUUUUCUUAUUUCAAAAUGUGAAAAGGAUACGUGUAUACAAAAGCAUAGAUUCUGUAAGAUUAUGCAUAAUGUAGCAAUCUGACAAUUACUUUGGAUAUUAGCUAUUUAAGCUUGUCUAAACUGAAUAGUCAUGCCACGGCUAGGCUUAGGUUUUUGCUCCUAAGAAUAUCUUCAGCAGUUUUUGCAGGAGGUUCAAUUUAGUAAUAAGUAUCUCUAUAACUGAGAGUUCUAAAUAAUUUUUUUUUUCCUUUUAGGGCCACACCUGCGGCAUAUGGAGGUUCCCAGGCUAGAGGUUCAAUCAGAGCUGUAGCCACCAGCUACAUCAAAGCCACAGUAAAGAUCCCAGCCACAUCUGCAACCUACACCACAGUUCACGGCAACACCAGAUCCUUAACCCAUGGAGCGAGGACAGGGAUCGAACCCGCAACCUCGAGGUUCCUAGUCAGAUUGGUUUUCUGCUGAGCCACGCAUGAUGGGAACCCCUAAAUAAAUUUUAAAAGAGGAAUUAUUACCUACCCACACUUACUGGAAAAGUAAGUCAAAUUAUCCUGGCUUAUUUAACAGUCAAGUAACUUGGUAUUUCCCAGUUAGUUUUUAAGAAUCAUCAACUGUUCCUCAAAUAUAUAUUCUGUGCUUCACAGUGUACAGUCAGUUGUAGACCCUCAAUGCGAAGUAUAAUGAUCAUUUCUCUCUGAGUAAAUAAGAUUGAUUCAUAGAGAAUUUAAAUUUGAGACGUGAGUAUAUUUGACUCCCUAAACUUAUAUGAUACGAAACAUUGCAAUGCUUUGAACACUUCAUUCAGUUACAUAUUUGGAAGCCUGUUGAGUUGUGGAUUCUCCUGUACACGAAUGACAAGUAUCUCAUAUAAUUCAAGUGCAAUAACUUGGGCCAAGUAAAUAAGUUCCAAAUUACAUGGGGAAAAAAAAGGCAACAGAAGCCAAUAAACAACAGUGGCCCAUCAUUGCCCAGGGCCUACUUUAACAGCUUAAACAUCUUGAAAGUUCUUCUGCCAUCUGCUCAACCCUGAACGGAUGAUGCUUUAGCUGAAGGAGUUCAGUUUGUAUUUUUGCCAUGUGAACUGCCUGGGCUCACUCUUUUCAUGACUUAGACGGUUUAUUUAUUUAUUUUUGCUUUCUUAUUUAACUUGGCAAUAAAAGGAAAGUUUAUGGUUUUCUUAGACACAGCAGAACUCUUUUCAGCUAUAUGUAGACAAAGGAGACUAGGAUAAAAAUCCACUUUCUUCUUCCUUCAGAGCUCACUGAUAUUUGUGGAGUAUUUAAAGUAUCUUUUCAGGGCUGUUGCUCAACCUCCAAAGCUGUUAAUUCCCUUCCAGCUGCUACUGAAAUGUAUGUGUUUGGUGAUAGCAAGUCUGAAAGGACAAUUUCUGUGCAUAUACAUUGGCGCAUGCCCUGCAAAAAGACCUAAAAAUGACUAAUUUUUGAAACUCUUAUAAUGAAUAAAGUGACAUGGCCCCAUUACAGAAACACCUGAAGGAACCUUGACCUGAGUCCUUCACCAAUAAUAUGCCUUCAUGUACAGAAGAAAGCUAAAAAUGAAAAUACAGAUUAAUCAUAAACAUAGAGCAAAAAACAAAAGCAAAUAAAAAGUAAGCAUAAACAUAGCUCCUCUCCUUGCCUUGAGCCAGGUAGGACGUUAUCACUAUUUCUUUGAUAAAUAACUGAAUUCUGAAUAACAGUAUUUAAGCAGCCUGCUCCGAGGAAAUGGAGUUGACAACAAAAUAACAGCAUAUAGUUUUUAAGCUUUGACACUGACAAACUGCCUUCGCCUACAUUCUGUCAUCGUUUUGUCUGACCAGCCAAUGAUUCCACACCCGCUUUAAAGAUGGUCACCAUGCAAUCAGCUUUCGCAAUAGGAAGACUCCACUGAGCAGUUUGUAACUCAUUUCCAAAUUGACUUUGGUGCUUGCGUAAGGAUAUAGUUCUGUGCUUUUUUUUGUCAACAAAGCUUCCUAAGCAAGGUUAUUCCAAAAAUAAUUUGGGCAAUGGGAAAAGUAAAAUAAACUUCUGUGGAUUUAGGUUCUGUUUCCCUUUUCUGUCCUAAAUGAUGUGUUUCCCUAGUCUUUGACUCUGCUUCAUAUUUGCAUGAUUAACACUGGCCACGGAUAAAACUGGACCUCAGGAUUCAUUGUCUAAUUAUGUGGUUUGCCCCCUAGGAUUUGGGUUUAAAUCUUACACAACAAACUGAAAACUAAAAAUUUUAAUGAUGCCUUUGUUUCCUUUAAACAAAGGAUUGCUGUUUAAUUGAAUUAAAUGUCUUCUAAAGACUCAGUGUAACUCUCUUAAGUCUAUGAACCUUCUCAAGUCUCGAAAUCAUAUUUUAGAAAGUUUAUCAAAUUGCUUCCACCAUUUUAUUUAUUUAUUUAUUUAUUUUCUUUUUUCUUUUUAGGGCUGCUCCUGCAGCGUAUGGAGGUUCCCAGGUGAGGGGUCCAAUCGGAGCUACAGCUGCCUGCCUACACCACAGCCACAGCAAUGCCAGAUCUGAGCCAUGUCUUCAAACUACACCACAGCUCACGGCAAGGCCGGAUCCUUAACCCACUGAGCGAGGCCAGGGAUCGAACCCUCAACCUCAUGGUUCCUAGCUGGAUUUGUUUCCACUGCGCCACGACGGGAACUCCCUUAUUUAUUUAUUUAUUUAUUUAUUUAUUUAUUUAUUUAUUUAUUUAUUGGGUCCAUUCUUGAAUCAUGCCAACAGGUAUUUAAAUGAGCAGAUUCUUAACCCACUGAGCGAGGCCAGGGAUCGAACCUGCAAUGUCAUGGUGACUAGCUGGAUUCAUUUACGCUGUGCCACAACGCAGUGCUUGUUCAACAAUUUUAAAACCUUAACUUUUUGACGUACCUGAAAUGCAAGCAUGGUAUAUAUAUUAUUUCUGUUAUCUCUGCACAAAAUACCAAGCUAUUGAGAAGGGAUUUUUAUCUUGGUGUAAACAGCUCAUCAAGUUUCUCCUACAGAACUGAGCGAUAGAGCAAUCCAGUUUCCUUUCUCUGCCAGUGUCACAGAUGGCAGCCAAGUGGUUCGAUUGAAAAUCUGAUGCUUCUACGUUUGCACAGCCAAAGAGGGUCUUCAAAAAAUGAAUUGUAAUUCCCACUGUUCUCCACACAAAAUGGAAGAUUAUGUCCAGAGUUGGGUUUUUGUCCUUGUUGUUGUUGCUUCAUUUCUUUAAACGUCAUCAGAACUACCUACCACUUAGAUCUAGCCUUGGUCAUUUGGAAGAGAGAGUUUAGUUGUGUUUUUCUCAUCAGUCUGGUUUUGUAAAAAUCGCACUUCUGUUAAACUAGUGGAAAAAAACUCUGCUUUUUACCAUGGGUGUUCAUGGACUUCAUUUCAUCAAAAGUAGUGCUGUUCAUUGUGCCCCGAAGAGUGUUAUACUGAUCUCACGGUCAACACUAAUUGAAAUGUAUACAAGUAGCAAAUGUGUAGAACUAAUGAUUUAGUUAUUUUCUUCACUGGGUAGCACAAAUAGUUAUUGUAACUCUGUGUCAUGUAUUUUUCAAAGUCUGUAACUUGCUGUUUUGUACCUGUGCUUGGGACUUGUUACUCAUCUGAAGCAGCAAUUUGAGACUUGUUGAAAAUUGUGAAGACUAAACGGCCUCAAAACGUUGUGUAUACUUUCUAUAAAUACUUGUUUUCAUCGGCUGAAUCUUGUACUUCUUCCCCAAAGGGAAAAAAAAAAAAGCUGUCAUUUGUCUUAAGCCUAACUGGAGAGGUGAUCCGUGAGAGAACUUUAUGAACUGAAAUGGGAAGACGAUAUCCAUUCUGUUAUUUCUAUUCUUUCGCUUUAAAUCGUGUGGGCAUAUAAGUCAAAACAUUCCUAUCUGAAAGUAAAAUUGAUGGGUCAUAUAACCGGAAAUGGCUAGUACGUUUUAUGCAAUUAAAUGUUUUAUGCAAUUAAAAGGAAAAAUCGAUCCCAAAU